AGAGUUUGAUCCUGGCUCAGGAUAAACGCUAGCGGCAGGCCUAACACAUGCAAGUCGAGGGGCAGCGGGUGGAGUAUUUCGGUACUCCUGCCGGCGACCGGCGCACGGGUGCGUAACGCGUAUGCAACCUACCUUUAACAGGGGGAUAAUCCGAAGAAAUUUGGUCUAAUACCCCAUAAUAUCAUUUAAGGCAUCUUAGAUGGUUGAAAAUUCCGAUGGUUAGAGAUGGGCAUGCGUUGUAUUAGCUAGUUGGUGAGGUAACGGCUCACCAAGGCUACGAUACAUAGGGGGACUGAGAGGUUUUCCCCCCACACUGGUACUGAGACACGGACCAGACUCCUACGGGAGGCAGCAGUGAGGAAUAUUGGUCAAUGGACGCAAGUCUGAACCAGCCAUGCCGCGUGCAGGAUGAAGGUGCUAUGCAUUGUAAACUGCUUUUGUACGAGGGUAAAUGCAGGUACGUGUACCUGUUUGAAAGUAUCGUACGAAUAAGGGUCGGCUAACUCCGUGCCAGCAGCCGCGGUAAUACGGAGGACCCGAGCGUUAUCCGGAUUUAUUGGGUUUAAAGGGUGCGUAGGCGGAUUAGUAAGUUAGAGGUGAAAGCUCGAUGCUCAACAUCGAAAUUGCCUCUGAUACUGUUAGUCUAGAGUAUAGUUGCGGAAGGCGGAAUGUGUGGUGUAGCGGUGAAAUGCUUAGAUAUCACACAGAACACCGAUUGCGAAGGCAGCUUUCCAAGCUAUUACUGACGCUGAUGCACGAAAGCGUGGGGAGCGAACAGGAUUAGAUACCCUGGUAGUCCACGCCGUAAACGAUGAUAACUCGUUGCAGGCGAUACACAGUCUGUGACUUAGCGAAAGCGUUAAGUUAUCCACCUGGGGAGUACGUUCGCAAGAAUGAAACUCAAAGGAAUUGACGGGGGCCCGCACAA
rnacentral:rRNA from 1 species